rnacentral:lncRNA from 1 species
GCCUAGUCUAUGGUGCUAUAAGUACUUCUGGUUAAUUUCAUCUCUGGAUCUCUUUUGGCCUACGGCACUCACUAUUUACUCAUUUAGGUUCACAUUCGUAUUAACAUGCAAGUGAUAAAGACUGUCAAUUAAAAGAUCUCAUACAAGUAAUUUAUUUCAUAAAUAAAUAGAAUAAAAAUCUUUAUUGAAAUAAAUUUUAAAACCUUC